GACGAACGCUGGCGGCGUGCUAACACAUGCACGUCGAACGGAAAGGCCCUGCUUUUGUGGGGUGCUCGAGUGGCGAACGGGUGAGUAACACGUGAGUAACCUGCCCUUGACUUUGGGAUAACUUCAGGAAACUGGGGCUAAUACCGGAUAGGAGCUCCUGCUGCAUGGUGGGGGUUGGAAAGUUUCGGCGGUUGGGGAUGGACUCGCGGCUUAUCAGCUUGUUGGUGGGGUAGUGGCUUACCAAGGCUUUGACGGGUAGCCGGCCUGAGAGGGUGACCGGCCACAUUGGGACUGAGAUACGGCCCAGACUCCUACGGGAGGCAGCAGUGGGGAAUAUUGCACAAUGGGCGGAAGCCUGAUGCAGCAACGCCGCGUGCGGGAUGACGGCCUUCGGGUUGUAAACCGCUUUCGCCUGUGACGAAGCGUGAGUGACGGUAAUGGGUAAAGAAGCACCGGCUAACUACGUG
rnacentral:rRNA from 1 species